ACAAUGCGGGACUAUACGUCUUGCAAUUGGAUUGAGAACAAUGUACAACUCUUAUCGAUAAGCCAUUGGAGGGCAAGUCUGGUGCCAGCAGCCGCGGUAAUUCCAGCUCCAAUAGCGUAUAUUAACGUUGUUGCAGUUAAAAAGCUCGUAGUUGAAGUGUGGGUGAUGCCGGCUGAAUGACUUCGGUUAGUCAGAUGAUCACUACCCCCUUCCAGUAUCCAGUAGUGGGUAUUCAGUUACUUACUAUUGUGUGUUGGUCGUUUACUGUGAGA
rnacentral:rRNA from 1 species